GACGAACGCUGGCGGCGUGCUUAACACAUGCAAGUCGAACGGAAAGGCCCUGCUUUUGUGGGGUGCUCGAGUGGCGAACGGGUGAGUAACACGUGAGUAACCGGCCCUUGACUUUGGGAUAACUUCAGGAAACUUGGUCUAAUACCGGAUAGGAGCUCCUGCUGCAUGGUGGGGGUUGGAACGUUUCGGCGGUUGGGGAUGUACUCGCGGCUUAUCAGCUUGUUGGUGGGGUAGUGGCUUACCAAGGCUUUGACGGGUAGCCGGCCUGAGAGGGUGACCGGCCACAUUGGGACUGAGAUACGGCCCAGACUCCUACGGGAGGCAGCAGUGGGGAAUAUUGCACAAUGGGCGGAAGCCUGAUGCAGCAACGCCGCGUGCGGGAUGACGGCCUUCGGGUUGUAAACCGCUUUCGCCUGUGACGAAGCGUGAGUGACGGUAAUGGGUAAAGAAGCACCGGCUAACUACGUG
rnacentral:rRNA from 1 species